UUCACUCCAGGUGAAUCUCAUCAUUUUCAUCUCAAUUAUACUUCCCAAAAACAACUGUAAUUAUGUUCCAUUCCUUCCACAAAAACAAAAGCAAACAAACUUCGCCCUUUUUCUUUACAGAAGCGCCUAAACAAGAGCAGCAUAAGCAGUAAAAAAACAUUCACCUCAUCAAGAUAGAACAGAAGCAGAGCUCAGCCCUCUUCAUCUUCUUCAUAAUCACAUCACGGUACCCACAAAGUUUCCAUCUUUACUUCAUUAUUCCCACACUAUUCUUUUCGUUCUGAUGAACACGAAACCAACAAACAAGAAAUAUACGAAUAAAAUUCUGCUGAUUUAAAAUCAUCAUAGACAAUACCAUCAAACUUGUGCCUUGACAUUUACAUUUGAACUGGACUCUUGUGAAGGAAUUGAAGAAACACAGAGAAGAACGAACCCUUAAAAUUUUGAUAAAACUUCAGUCUUUACAGCUUCGAUCUUGCUGCGCUUGAUUCUUGUUGUGUGUGUUAGUAUGGCGUGAGUUCAGUCGGGGCUAGGAGGGGUUGAAGUAGAGAGAGCGGCGGCAGCGGCUGAUGGGCUGCUGCCGUUCGGACCGAAGGAGAAGGGGGCGACGGUGAAUCUCGCCGUUCGCCGUGAGAAAAAGAGGAGAGGCGGCGGUAAUUUUGACGGCCACUGGCUGUCCGGCGAGGGAGGAGGGAAGAAGGCGGCGAAAACGCUGCUAUGGUAGAAGGUGGCAGGCGGAUGAGUGAGAGGAAGAGGGAGAGAGUGGUUUUCUAAUUUGAGCCUUGAGAGAGAGAUUUUGGGUUUCUGUAUCUGGGGGUUUGAUCAAUUGGAGGAUGGAGAUGGAGAAAAGAGGCGGCGGAGAGGUGAAGGGGGCGGCGACGCGGCAGCCGUGGAAGAGCGGCGGCGACCGCAGCUGUUUAUGGCGAGAGAAGGGAUAGAGACAGAGAGAGUGGGGCGAGAUGUUGAGAGGGAGAGUCGGCAGAUGCAGAUGCUGGUAGGGGUGAAGGUGAUGAGCGCCGGCGAAGCGCCGCCGGUCUUGCUGGAGGUGGACGGCGGCUUGGGAGAGAGAAAAGCGAUUUCUGUGAGAGAGAGAGAGAGAGAGAGAGACGCAUAUGAGAAGGAACAG